UAAUUUUAUGAAAUUUCACAUCUUUUAGGCUGGGCUGAGAGAGAGAGAAACUUUAAAGUUCAUACCUAUAAAACAUAUACUGAUUCACUACUGCUGGCAAUUGUGUAUGAAUAUCUAAUACAUUCUUAUUGGUUAAUAAACAUGUAUUGAAUACUAUCUAUGAGACCUUGUGUUAUGAAAAUAAAUUUUAAAAAUCUCUUAAUUCUUCUCUCAACUAUGGGAGGCAUUUUAAUGAUAGAAAAAUUUUAAUACCUUUUUGUAAGGAUGCACAAACUAAGGAUUACAAGAGCUCAGAGGAGGGGAACCUAUCUAGUCCAGAGUUCAGAGGAGUCUUCCUAAUAGAAGUAAUAUUGGCCUAAUCUUGAUGUAUACGUGAAAGGCAUUAGAGAAUAGAAGCAGUGAAACAUGCGGAAGAGGUCACCGUAUAUGUAAAGGCAUAGAGGUAAGGGAGAAUAUCACCCACUCAGAGUAUUAAAAGUAUAUAAUCGAGAAUCUAGGGUGUGUAGUAAAUUAUUUGCAAAAAUGCCCCAAGGGAGCAGAAUGGGAUGGCAAGAGAUUUCAUCAUGCUACUCAAAAAGCACACACACUUUAAAACUGACGAAUCUUUACUUCUGGAAUUUUGCAUUUACUAUUUUCAGACUGAGGUUGACUGUGAGGUAACUGAAACCACGGAAAGCAAAACUGCCAACAAGAAUGAAUAGGGAGGACCACAAGACAUUUGUCACAUUCCACCAUAGCCUACUUCCAUAUUUGAGAGGAAUAGUUGCAUCUGAGGUCAUCCGUUCUUUCAGGAUUUGGCAAACUCACUUUUAAAAUGACCUGGAAAUACAGUUUAUUAUGUCCUGUUGGUGAGUGUGCUUAUUCAGAUGGAGCCUAGACAGUUUGUGAACACUGAUUCUGCUCUUAUGGAGCUUCUUGGUACUGGCACUGAAUGGUGUGCCUUAAAGUGAAGCCUGAAUGUCUCAGAUUGAUUUCAAACAAAUGCAGCAACAAAUCAAGGUGUUCUUCCUUGGGAAGUGAUGGGUGUUUUGCCUACUGUCAAUCUCUGGAAUCAUUCUGGCUACUAUGUGGACAAAAACUGUAGCAGGUAAAGAACAGGAGCCAAGAAGCCAGUAUGGAGCCAAAGAGCAGGCCAAGUGAGGGAUGAUGACUCACUCACUGGCUAGCUGAGUGGUUCUUGGCCUUGAGGAUUUAUUGGCACCCAUUUCAUUUGUCUUUCUCUGGAUUUAACAUUGAGGUGAUGAGAUGGAAUAUUACCUGUAUGCUUCGGAACAUCUAUGAGUGACAUGUAAUAGUUGCCUGGGAAACUAGAGAUGAAAUUCUACAGGUCUUUGAAAUGCUUUACAUUUGAGAAUGAAGCUCAGCUGAAGUUUGAACAGCAUACUGACAUAUACCAACAAGAAUGAAAAUAACUUAACAGCAAUUUUAUAAAUUCACAUCCCCCAGAGCACCACAGAGUAAAGAAAUACUGCAUAUGGGUAACAACUGGUUCUUAGUUACUAAAUCUGAAAGAUCAAAUACAGUUAAUUACAUAAGCUUCUCUUGAGUUUUUCUGGGGGAAUAUACCAGGAGACCAUAAUCAAGGUACCAGUUUAUUGAUGGCUGUCCUUAACAAAUACAACUCUUCAAGAAAAUAAAGUAAUUUAAUGCAUAAUAAUGUUGAAUGCCGCUUUCAGCAUCACCAGUGGCAUUUCAUACUGGUCCCAUGGUGUUAAUCCAGGUUUCUGGUAUUGCACUAAACACGAUGAAAAACAGGAGAGAACGGAGAGGGAUCAUGUUUUACCACAAUAUGCAAUUUAUGGGAGAGAUGAAGCGCUCAGGUGGAGAUGACUAGUGUCACGUGGUGUUUUAAGUGGAUACUCACAACGCUGGAACUCACAGCAAUAACAACAAGAGAUCCUCUAUAGACUGUUGAUGUAUAGCCAUGAGAAAAAAAAAAGAAAAAUUUUUGCUCUCAAUGAGCUUGCAUUUAAGCAUCUAUAAAAGACCCAGAGUGCAGGAGGGAUAACUGAUAUCAAAAUUCCAAGGAAAGGAUGAAAAAAGUAGGAAGAAAACCCCAAGAGUCAGGUGAGAUUAAUAUUUACUCAGUGAACUUUGAGUAAAGCAUUGGGUGCUUCAUUAUGUGGAGGAGUCUCAUCCAAUCAGUUGAAGGUGACUGAAUGGAACUAUAGAUCGACCUCACAUAAAUGAGAGGGAAUUCUGCAACAGAUCAUCUUUGCCUUUGAACUGCAGCAUGGACUCCCCUCUGGGUCUCCUGCCUGCCAGCCCACCCUGCAGAGUGCAUUUGCCAGCCUCCACAAUCAGGUAAUUUAUCCUGUGCAUUAACAAGAGGAAGUCUAGAGCCAUGGAAACCAAGUCAGGAAACUUCUCUCUUAUUAUUAGGUCCACUGCAAAUCUAGUUGAGACUGCAAAUCGAGUUUAGUCACCACCUCCGAGGAACUGUGUCCCGCAUUGGCAUUCCUUUGGCAGCUUCCACUUCUCUGUCCCCUUGAGCAAAGUUUUUCUCAGGGGAAGCCGAGCUCCAGACUAUUCAUUUGUCCUGAGGCAGCCACUUGAAACACAAUCAUUUUGUAUUUCUACGAUGUUUUGACCUUUUAUCCAAGUCAGCCCUAUAGAAUGGGCCAGGAGGUUGCUGCCACUGAAUAAGCCACUGUGAUUUUUAGCGUCAAGAAUUUUGCUGUUAACUAUGGCAGAAAAAUAGACAGAGGACAAUAAAAAUAACUAACAUAGACUAA